rnacentral:rRNA from 1 species
UACAGAGGUCUCAAGCGUUGUUCGGAUUCAUUGGGCGUAAAGGGUGCGUAGGCGGUCUGUCGCGUCGGCUGUGAAAUCCCGAGGCUCAACCUCGGGUCUGCAGUCGAUACGGGCAAACUAGAGUAUUGCAGGGGAGACUGGAAUUCCUGGUGUAGCGGUGAAAUGCGCAGAUAUCAGGAGGAACACCGGUGGCGAAGGCGGGUCUCUGGGCAAUAACUGACGCUGAGGAGCGAAAGCGUGGGGAGCGAACAGG